AUUUUCCGGUUGAUCCUGCCGGACCUAACUGCUAUCGGAAUAGGACUAAGCCAUGCGAGUUUGCCAAGGAGAGCACGCUACCUUGGUGGCGAACGGCUCAGUAACACGUAGUCAACCUGCCCUUGGGACGGGAACAAUCUCGGGAAACUGAGGCUAAUGCCCGAUAGAUCAAGAUUUCCUGGAACGGGUUUUGAUCCAAACGUGGUAACAGGCAUCUUCUGUUACAUUUACGCCCGAGGAUGGGACUGCGGCCGAUCAGGCUGUUGGUGGGGUAAUGGCCCACCAAACCAGUAACCGGUACGGGCUUUGAGAGAAGGAGCCCGGAGAUGGGCACUGAGACAAGGGCCCAGGUCCUAUGGGGCGCAGCAGGCGCGAAACCUCUGCAAUAGGCGAAAGCUUGACAGGGUUACUCUGAGUGAUGCCCGCUAAGGGUAUCUUUUGGCACCUCUAAAAAUGGUGCAGAAUAAGGGGUGGGCAAGUCUGGUGUCAGCCGCCGCGGUAAUACCAGCACCCCGAGUGGUCGGGACGAUUAUUGGGCCUAAAGCAUCCGUAGCUUGUUCUGCAAGUCCUCCGUUAAAUCCACCUGCUCAACAGAUGGGCUGCGGAGGAUACUACAGGGCUAGGAGGCGGGAGAGGCAAACGGUACUCAGUGGGUAGGGGUAAAAUCCACUGAUCCACUGAAGACCACCAGUGGCGAAGGCGGUUUGCCAGAACGCGCUCGACGGUGAGGGAUGAAAGCUGGGGGAGCAAACCGGAUUAGAUACCCGGGUAGUCCCAGCUGUAAACGAUGCAGCUCGGUUGGAUGGGGUUGGGCUUCGGGCCAACCCAGUGCCGCAGGGAAGCCGUUAAGUCUGCCGCCUGGGGAGUACGGUCGCAAGACUGAAACUUAAAGGAAUUGGGCGGGGGAGCACCACAGGGGUGAAGCCUGCGGUUCAAUUGGAGUCAACGCCGGACUUCCGGUUGAUCCUGCGGAUUGGAGUCACGCGGAUUGAGUCAACGCGGACUUCCGGUUGAUCCUGCCGGAUGGAGUCACGCCGACUUCCGGUUGAUCCUG
rnacentral:rRNA from 1 species